ensembl:lncRNA
GCCAAUUUAACAUCUAACCGAGUAUUAAACUCUUGACUUUUUUAUUGCUGAUGCCAUCAAAUGUCAAGCCGCGCCUCUGGAUGACUUCUCAUCCGGGCGCAAAACACAUCAAGUCCGCCACCAAUCUGCAGGAGUGCGGGACAGAAACUUAUUUCUAUGCUAAUGGUGUUGACAAAUGUGUUGCGAUGGGGUUGCCAUUUUUGAGCGGACCUGAAUUGUCGCCCUGAAUUGAAUUGUAGUGUGAAUUAUCAUAUAAUUGCAUUUUCAGCUGUGAUUUAUCUGCACGUUGAGGCUGGUGCGCUCCAGUUAGUUGGUCGUGGCGUUUGUGCGGCUGGUCUGACUCAAACACUGCAGGAUGUUUCUCCACUUGCAAACAUCAGUCUUCACCCCCCUCCACACACACACUUCUACUUUUCUCAGCUCGUUUCUUUUUACAGUCAUUUUUUUUCUUACUUUCUCUUCAUCUUUUACUUGUUUUUAUUCAUUCAUUUAUUGACGGCCUUUUUUUUCUUCCACUUUCCUCUGAUGCUUUCAUUAUAUCCUUUGUACUUUCUAUCUUCCAUUUUCUGUCUCAGUAGUAUUUGAAGGGGAUGACAGUGAGGUACCCUCAGGGUUAUACAGUAGCUCUCCUUCACAGAACACACACACACCAGCACACAAACCCAAACUCACAUCUGCUCUUCUCAGUCAUUUUCUUUUCUUUAUCCCAGCAUUUGGCACUUUCUGUCUCCUUCUCUCCAUCUAUAAGUUCCAAUGCAUCAUCCUGCAUAUAAUGUUGAUGCUAUACUGUCUGAAUAUGCCUACAGAUACCAGGAAUUAUCAAUAUAGGCUUUCAGUUUAAAAAAAAAAAUCAAACUAAAAGAAGAACUCUCAAACUUUCCUAACACAAACCAAGCAAACCAACAAAAGACUGCAACAGACUAUAAAUGUGAGAGGUGGAUUACUGUUCAGCUGUGCAGUCUCUCCGUGUGUGUCCACUGGUCUGAGCAUGAUCUGUUCCGUAGGCUCCUCUGUAG